rfam:Populus trichocarpa scaffold_1_contig_396, whole genome shotgun sequence.
AGGAGGCGUGAUGAUAUGUAUCCACUUUUCCUGCAUUAAGAUGAUGAAUUUUAUACAUGCACUACCAUCUGAUCUCUC